rnacentral:rRNA from 1 species
AACGAACGCUGGCGGCAUGCCUAACACAUGCAAGUCGAACGAGAUCUUCGGGUCUAGUGGCGCACGGGUGCGUAACGCGUGGGAAUCUGCCCUUUGGUUCGGAAUGACAGUUGGAAACGACUGCUAAUACCGGAUGAUGACGAAAGUCCAAAGAUUUAUCGCCAGAGGAUGAGCCCGCGUAGGAUUAGCUAGUUGGUGGGGUAAAGGCGCACCAAGGCGACGAUCCUUAGCUGGUCUGAGAGGAUGAUCAGCCACACUGGGACUGAGACACGGCCCAGACUCCUACGGGAGGCAGCAGUGGGGAAUAUUGAACAAUGGGCGAAAGCCUGAUCCAGCAAUGCCGCGAGAGUGAUGAAGGCCUUAGGGUUGUAAAGCUCUUUUACCCGGGAUGAUAAUGACAGUACCGGGAGAAUAAGCUCCGGCUAACUCCGUGCCAGCCGCCGCAGUAA